GUUUUCCAGGGUAGGUCUAGAAAGCAUUUCAAGAGUUUGUAGCAAAUGCAGAGGAACAGAAACCUUUGAAAACUUCAUGUAACUUGAUAUUCUGGAAUUGGGAAGGUUUUGUAUUUCUGUGGGGGAUAGAAGUAGUGCAGAAAUGCUUACGGUGUGAGCAGCAACCUGCUGGAAUUGGGAACUGGUCACCUCAUUUUCAAGCCAUUGGGACAGGCUCUUUCUGGGGAUGCGGCCUGCCAGAGAUAAGGGGUGCUGUCUUUUCCCUGAUGUGAUGCGCUCGGGUGGGAAUGGCCCAUAGCAGCAUUUGGUGUGUAUUCCAGCCUUUGCAGGAGUGUCUUCUGUAUCCUUGUGUGCUGUCAUUGGUGUUGCAAAACCCAAGGGCCAUGUUAAUAUUCGUGGCAGAGAAAAUGCUAAGGCUUUGUUCCCUGUCAGCGUCAGCGAAAGUGCCCUGGAGGAGCAGUUGAUUCCAGGCCAGCUCGGAAACGGAGCUGGCUGCUGCCCUCCAGCGCAGGUGGAACUUCGCAGACAGAGCCAACAGACCUUGAGGAAAGUGGCACACCUGCUUUUGAGCCUGCUGCUGGAGAAGUCAUAGAUCUCACAGGUGUCUCUUCUGAGCCUGAAGUCAUCACUAUCAGUGAUGAUGAGUCUCCUGUGGACAGGCAGCAGAGCCAGCAGCAGCCACAUCUUUCCAGAGUGUCAGAGAAUUCAGCCGAGCCACUGGCAAGGAACGAUGAAGAGGAACCUGGAGAAGAUGAUGGUCUUCCAUAUGGGUCAGAUGAGGACUCAGAGUCCAGGGAGCAGAACCAGCAGGACUCACAUCUUUCCAGACCAGCAGAGAUUUCAGCAGGUCCACUGACAACCCAUGAUGAAGAGGAACCAGGAGGUAGCGGUGCAUGGCCAGCAGGUCCUGCUGGUCCUCCAAUGAGGGAGGGUGACAACUCACAGGUGCAGGACA